GGUGUACUUUCUGGUUGACGGGUCAGCAUCAAUUUUGACCGCUGGAAAAGGCCUGGGGAAUGUGGCAGCUCGGGCUGUGUUAUAGCCCCCUGUCGCAUACGGUGGUUKGGAUUGAGGAACUCAGCACGCCGCAAGGCCGGGUUUCGACCACGUUCGUGCUUAGGAUGCUGGCAUAAUGGCUUUAAGCGACCCGUCUUGAAACACGGACCAAGGAGUCUAACAUGCCUGCGAGUAUUUGGGUGGAAAACCCAAGUGCGUAAUGAAAGUGAAAGUUGAGAUCCCUGUCGCGGGGAGCAUCGACGCCCGGACCAGAACUUUUGGGACGGAUCCGCGGUGGAGCAUGUAUGUUGGGACCCGAAAGAUGGUGAACUAUGCCUGAAUAGGGUGAAGCCAGAGGAAACUCUGGUGGAGGCUCGUAGCGAUUCUGACGUGCAAAUCGAUCGUCAAAUUUGGGUAUAGG
rnacentral:rRNA from 1 species